ACUAUCCCCACCGAUAGAAUCAAAUAUUUGAUAUAAAAUCAAAUUCACAUCCAUGAUAAUUUUGAAUUUUUUCUAAGAGGAAAGAAAACAUAAUUAUACAAAAAACUAAAAAGAAAUGCUCUUUCUCGGUAGAAAUGGCAAUUUGGAAAUUAUCUGUGAGAUUCUGGCUCUUGUAGAAAUCGUGAAUUUGUAAUAAUGUGUGGGGAUUUGGCUUUUCUUUCCGGGAUUUUGGCUAUUUAGCUUUUGCAGAUAUGAUAUGAAGAAAUGGAAAAACCGAUGAGGAUUUGGUCACUAUGGCUGUGGGAUUUUGACUCGCUACAGAUGAUGAUUUGGAAAUGAUGUGGGGUCCAAGGCUAACACCUUUAAAGCGCUUGCUUGAAGAUGCUGCCCAGGAUAACUUGCUGCUGCAUGUUUGGAACGUGAUCCAACCUACGUUCCUAAAAAAUGGUGUUGGGUUUGGAGAUAAUGGUGUAGACUCUGUGUGUGCUCUUUGGUUAGGUAUGGAGAUAAUGGUGUUGGGUUUUGUGGAGUUGCACAGAUUUUGUGAUUCCACACCGUGGAGAUGUCAAUGUGCAAAUUGUGUGAGAGAUCUGGAAUUUGCAGAGCUUAGGUGCUGAAAUUCUGAGAUGGAAAGAAGAUUUCGUGGGGGAUUGAGUUACGUGAUUGAUGAGAUUUCUAGACUGUGCGUGGGAAGAUUUUUGGAUUUCGCACACUCUCAGGCUGAAAAUCAGACUGUGGAGAGUUGUCUUGGAAUCUUAAUCAGAAAUUGAAGCCCAAUAAUAUUGUUGUUGAAGAAAAAAAGAGAGUUAAUGCCUCGUCUACCUCAUCAUACUCAAAUCAUUCUUGUCCCUGGCUGGCAUCCCACCCCCUACUAUGUCGUCUACACGGCUCUAUCCACUAGGUCUUGUCUCUUUACCAUGUGGUAUUAAAAAUUAAAAUAUUACUGCCGAGAGGAGAAGAAGAGCAUCAAAAACUUCAAUAAUAAUAUAUAAAUUAUUAUUAUUA